rnacentral:rRNA from 1 species
UACAGAGGUCCCGAGCGUUGUUCGGAUUCAUUGGGCGUAAAGGGUGCGUAGGCGGUGGGGUAAGUUGGAUGUGAAAUCUUGGGGCUUAACCUCAAAAUUGCAUUCAAUACUGCUCCGCUCGAGUUCUGUAGAGGAGAUUGGAAUUUACGGUGUAGCAGUGAAAUGCGUAGAUAUCGUAAGGAACGCCAGUGGCGAAAGCGAAUCUCUGGGCAGCAACUGACGCUGAGGCGCGAAAGCGUGGGGAGCAAACAGG